CAGGACUGCGUUACCGCUCCGCCCUUACAUAAGAACUUUCGAUAUCAUCGAAGCAAAUGCGCAGGAAUGAAGCUACUAUCUAGCAUCCUAGUCUUCCUGUCUGUCGCACAAGCUCAUGGUAAGAUCUUCGUCUAAGAAAAUGCACAACAAAUGUAAGAAAGAACCAUAUAUUGGCAGCUGUCAUCCAUUGUAUGGUUUAUGGUACUACGACCCUAACAGAUAUUCCUGUAGAGAGCUGACACCAGGCACAUGCGCCUCUGGGCGAAAUUUGUUCCCCACCCUCAGCGUAUGCAAGAAAACAUGUAUCCCGCUAACACUGGCGAAAGCAAAAAUAUGCCUGAAGCUACCCAUUGAGGGCCCGUGUGGACCGCUGUAUGUCUCUUGGUACUAUGAUAAUGCAAAUCACUAUUGCAAAAUGUUCAACCGCACCAUCUGCGGUGGUGGUGGGAACGAUUUUGUGACGGAAGAGAAGUGCCAAGCUAUAUGCCUGCACAAGAACAAACCUUUGUGCAGCUUGCGGCCCAGUCCAGGAAAGUGCUUGGGAAGCACACUACAGUGGUAUUUUGACGACGUCAGCAACAGCUGUCGUAAGUUCGCAGGUGAUCUCUGUGGCAAAAACGACAAUUCAUUUUCAUCGAAGCGGAAUUGCAUGGAAAGAUGCAGCUAUGUGAAAGCUGCGACGGGUUCCAUAACUGUCGCACACACGAUGCAGAAUACGCUGCCGAGACUGAAUAAAAGUGCCUAAUCUACCGUCCCAAGCCUUGCACUUACUACCUGAUCUGGACGAUUGGACCCCAUGCUCUAAUCAGAAGGCUUCAGUCUAUGAGGACUACAUUAAAUGCAUGACAUCAUUACUGUGCUCAAUGUAAAAUUGUUCGGUUUUAAAGGUCAUCUCGUUUUAAAUACCAUUAAA